CCCUGAAAGCUCAUCAUCGGGGCCAUGUGCUGAGUGCUGGCCACUCUUCCCUGGAAAGGUCUGAGACUUCGGUCUCCCUGAGCAGGGAGCGGGGGUAAGUUCUCAGAGAGCAGGGCAGACUGGGCAGGAGACACCCUGAGUGGGUGGAUGCCUCUCUCCCUCGCCAGAGCUCAAGACAGACUCAUGGCCUGCUGCAGGAGUGGGGAAAGGAAUAGGG
rnacentral:RNase_P_RNA from 1 species